rnacentral:rRNA from 1 species
CCUACGGGGGGCUGCAGUGGGGAAUAUUGGGCAAUGGGCGCAAGCCUGACCCAGCAACGCCGCGUGAAGGAAGAAGGCUUUCGGGUUGUAAACUUCUUUGACGGGGGACGAAAGAAAUGACGGUACCCCGAAAACAAGCCACGGCUAACUACGUGCCAGCAGCCGCGGUAAUACGUAGGUGGCAAGCGUUGUCCGGAUUUACUGGGUGUAAAGGGCGCGUAGGCGGGAUUGCAAGUCAGGCGUGAAAAUUAUGGGCUCAACCCAUAACCUGCGUUUGAAACUGUAGUUCUUGAGUAUCGGAGAGGCAGGCGGAAUUCCUAGUGUAGCGGUGAAAUGCGUAGAUAUUAGGAGGAACACCAGUGGCGAAGGCGGCCUGCUGGACGACAACUGACGCUGAGGCGCGAAAGCGUGGGGAGCAAACAGGAUUAGAUACCCCUGUAGUC